GACAGAGGGUGCAAACGUUGCUCGGAAUCACUGGGCGUAAAGGGCGUGUAGGCGGGAAGGAAAGUCAGAUGGGAAAUCCCUGGGCUCAACCCAGGAACUGCAUUUGAAACUCCCUUUCUUGAGUACCGGAGAGGAAGGUGGAAUACCUGGUGUAGAGGUGAAAUUCGUAGAUAUCAGGUGGAACACCAGUGGCGAAGGCGGCCUUCUGGACGGUAACUGACGCUGAGACGCGAAAGCGUGGGGAGCAAACAGG
rnacentral:rRNA from 1 species